rnacentral:rRNA from 1 species
GAUGAACGCUGGCGGCGUGCCUAAUACAUGCAAGUCGAGCGAACAGACGAGGAGCUUGCUCCUCUGACGUUAGCGGCGGACGGGUGAGUAACACGUGGAUAACCUACCUAUAAGACUGGGAUAACUUCGGGAAACCGGAGCUAAUACCGGAUAAUAUAUUGAACCACAUGGUUCAAUAGUGAAAGACGGUUUUGCUGUCACUUAUAGAUGGAUCCGCGCCGCAUUAGCUAGUUGGUAAGGUAACGGCUUACCAAGGCAACGAUGCGUAGCCGACCUGAGAGGGUGAUCGGCCACACUGGAACUGAGACACGGUCCAGACUCCUACGGGAGGCAGCAGUAGGGAAUCUUCCGCAAUGGGCGAAAGCCUGACGGGGCAACGCCGCGUGAGUGAUGAAGGUCUUCGGAUCGUAAAACUCUGUUAUUAGGGAAGAACAAAUGUGUAAGUAACUAUGCACGUCUUGACGGUACCUAAUCAGAAAGCCACGGCUAACUACGUG